rnacentral:rRNA from 1 species
CAACCUGCCUUUCAGAGGGGGAUAACAGUUGGAAACGACUGCUAAUACCGCAUAACGCUGCGAUGGGGCAUCCCGAUGCAGCCAAAGGAGCAAUCCGCUGGAAGAUGGGCUCGCGGCCGAUUAGCUAGUUGGUGGGGCAACGGCCCACCAAGGCGACGAUCGGUAGCCGGACUGAGAGGUUGAUCGGCCACAUUGGGACUGAGACACGGCCCAGACUCCUACGGAAGGCAGCAG